AUUCUGCAUUUUUAGCAAGUUC
rnacentral:miRNA from 8 species